AUUGAAUUUCAUGUUUGUGUUUUUUUUUGCAGAGUGACUGUGGAUAAUUCUUCAAGUAGAACAACCACUUUGAUAAAGCUUUGAAAUUUAAACGUUAUAAGGAAUACGAAGCUGCAAAAAAUACGAAACAAAUUGUUUCGGUAGCUUCUGUUAGCUUUUUGAAGGUCUUCACUUCAUUUGAAACAUAAAGAGAUGUGUUGCAUUGCAGGUUAUAAAUAAUUUUUUGAAGGUUUACUUUUCAUCUUAUGUUGGUUGUGAAUUAUACUAAUAUAAUCAAUGUCGAAUUCCGUCUUCGACAAUUAACUCAAUGCCACCCUUUAAGGUAACAGCACCUUCAUUAGGGCUUCAAGCCCACUUCCUAUGAAAUCAGAUUUUAGAUUUUUCAAUCAACUUAAGAUUGGUGAAAGAAAAGAUUAAGAUAAUACUACUGUAAGAGAACUCAGCAGAGAGUGGCCUGGAAGUGCAUAUGAUAUGUUGUCCCAAAUCUGCAACCACUUUUGUGGUGAAUUGUGUGAAAUGUCUUUCUGAUGCUGGUUGGAGAUGGUUGUAUGCUGAUGUGGGACUUGAUCUUGCUUUUGGCAUAUGAAAAUGACAUGGAUGUGUGGCUGUUGCCUGUUUGUAGGUUGUGAACAUUCUUAGUGGUGCAUUGAAAUUAUGAAGGCAACCCAAUUAUGAAUCUAGAAUUGGAUUUAAUAUCAACUUGAAAUUUAAAUUAUAAAUCUAGAACUAGCUCAUGUCUAUCAAACAGACUUGUGAAGUGAGGUUGUGAAAAGCAGUUUAGAAAUCAACCAAGUUACUAUCGCAAUGUAGGAUCAACUUUGCAGCAAUAAGGACAUUUGCAUGACCUUAUAUACUGUUAAAAUUUGUCAAACAAAUCCGGUUCAGGAGAUUUAGAGGUAACUAUGUACAAAUGUGGAAAGUCCAUUAAGGAGAGAUAGAGGUAGCUAUGCAGGCAACCGAGAAUCAAACCUUAGGACAAACCCAGAAAGGAAAUCCCGCCUCUGUCAUGCAAUCAACAGCCGCAGUAAACACAGCUGUCGAUCUUCUCAACUACGACGACAUCUCAGACAUUUCCAGAAACCAAGGUGUGAGCAUCUCCGAAACUGAAGUUCGUGGAAACCGUGUGAUCACUGAGUCGGUUGGGUCACAAGUUGUAUGACAGUUUGUUGAACCUGAUGUGCCAAUGAACGGUCUUGGUUUCUUGGAUUGUGACUAUAUUCCUACUGGUACAUCAUGUACUUGAAUUGUGGUUUAAUCAAUUAUUUGUUACUAAAAAAAGGCAUUACCUGCCUAUUCUAGAUAAAAUCUUGGAAUUAUUUGAA